CCCGACCUUGGUGUAAAGCUUUCCGUGCAGCGUUUGUUUCCCUCCGUUUCUAUGGGUUUUUGGUUCGGUUUCGGUUUGGAGUUAGGGUGGAAUUGCGUUUUCGGAUCUUUCUUAUUAGAUCUAUUGAAAUAGUGAUUGAUAUCAGUUGAAUCUCGGAUUUUGUGUUUCGUAGGUAAAUUGUUCUUGGAAUGGGCGGUGAUCUUGUGAUUCUGUUGUCGUCGAUCCGUUGUGAUGAUGAUCAUACAUUUAACUCUGUUUCACAUUUUUCUGAUUAGAUUUAUCGAAAUAGUGAUACAAAUCGGUUGAAUCUCGGAUUUUGUGUUUCCUAGGUAGAUUGUUCUUGGAAUGGACGGUGAUCUUGUGAUUCUGUUGCCGUUGAUCCGUUGUGACGAGGUUAAUUAUGUUGUGCGGAUGGACCGACGGUUCUUUUGGGUUCCCUUCCUUUGCUACGAGUUCUAUAUUUCUUGUUUUAUUUUGGAACUUUGGAAGAUAUUUCAAUAUACGGUUUCUGCCUGCGUUGUUGUUGCCGGCUUUCCUAAUCCUUGAACUUCCUUAUUGCCGUGAUCGCCGCUAUUACUAGGAAUGCAUCUCUUUCCACGUUGUGAAUAAUUUUUGUCUUUUGAAGUUAAUUAGUAAUACGUCAGGAGAUAAAAGAUUAUUAGUAUCUUUUUGUGAAUGCAGUUAGAAAGAAGAGAUGAGUAGAUGGUCUAUGGCCAUGGCCUGAAGAAGAAAUGACAAGGAUGAAAGAUUUGGAAGAAAUGACAAAGGAUGAAAGAUUUGGAAGCUGUGGGUGGUAAGGGGGUCUUGUAAAAGCUUACCCUUGCACUUUUAUAUCUCCACCUACCUUCAUUUUACACUGAGAUUGUUUCAAUUUAAAAUUUGGUGUUGGUGAUUUUAGAUUGGUGGUCUAGGAGGUAUUGAUUGGAUCUCUUGGUUUAUAAGACUUCCAUGGGUUUGGAUUUCUGUCUCAACUUUCAAGGAGAUUUGCUUCCUGUUCAUAUAUCUCUAAAAUACUUGAUUUUGGGGGAUCUUGUAUUGGUACUGGGCAUGAUAUGACCUUUGACCCUUUUUUUUUUCAUUCAGAUGCUGUUUGGGUUAAUUAAAAGGACAAGGAUAAAGGAUCUUGCAGCAGUUCGAUUUUCUUUGGACCUCCAUCUUGCUUGAUAAUGGGUUUUAUGUGCAAUGGUUCUUGGCUGGCCGGUCUAUAAUGGGGAAAAUUUUUAAGUCUUCAUUUUCUUCUCUUGUGUUCUUUUUCAUUCUUUGCAGGAACUUCACUAUCAACCUUUUUCUGUUUAUCAAUUUCUCUUGUUUUUUGGCUUGACACAUGGUUUGUAGGUUGAUGUUGACAACAGUAAUCUUGGAAAUUCUACCAUCAGCACAUAAGACAAAAGUCUACACACUGAUUUCAAGAAGAUUUUGCUUCCUGGUUUUUCAUAUCUCUCAAAACUACUUGAUUUUGGAGAAUCUUGUACAGGUUUGCAUGGUAGUUUAUUAGGUUUGGAAAGAUUCUGGUGAUCACUUUCUAGUUUUGAAAGAUUGUGAAUGUCCUUGCUAGUUGGGACAAUGGUUUUAUGCAGACAUUUUUCUUGCGUUUGUGAUUGAUAGCUAUAUAUGUGCAUUUGUAAUUGUAGGUUGCAGAAGAUACGUUUCUGGUUUUUCAAGCUCUGCCACUGGUUUAUUUGUCAUUUGUGCUUUCAUUUCAUGGAUUUGUGAGGUUUUCUUUUACCUGGUUUAUUUAAAUGUCUGAAACAUAUUAGUUAGAGAAGAUUUCAAAUUGAAGGGAUUUCAUUUAACUGAAAAGAUGCCGUAGGGUUAGCAUAAAUGCGAUACUUUGGAUGUCAACUUUAUAUGAUUAUGUUUUUCGGUUGUGAGUUUGAGUUCUUAUUGUGGGAUUUAUAGGGAUCUGUUUUUCGGUUGCAGAGAUUCAUUAGAGUUUACAAGUUCUGUCAGCUGAGAUUUUACUUUUCUCGUGGUUCUCAGUGUCUGAUUCGGAUCUUUGCAUUGUUUGGAAGUUGAUAUUUUUUUAAAGCCUAGGCAGCUGAAAUGAAGCAUGUUGUUAGAAAUUGUAUUUAUAUACUUUUUUCUUUUUAAUGUUUGAGCAAGUUCUUGCUAAUUUAGUUGGCACGAGGUAAAUGUGUGGAAGAUGUGGCCCAUCAAGGACUUCAAAUUGGUUGAGCUUUUGUUUGACCUUCAUCUUUUUUUUUGAAAGCUUGUCCUUAAUAUCUGUUCGCUUGAUGUUGGCUUUCAUGUGCAGUGGUACGUUGGCUGGCCAUCCUGGUGGAGAAAAUUGAUAAGUCUUCAUUUCUUGCUAUUGGAUUGUUUUUAACUGUUGCAGGAUCUUUCACUUUCAGCUUUUUGUUUUUUUUCAAAAAGUGGUUGUUUGGCCUUUGUAUUAUUUGUUUUUAGGUUACCAUCUUGUUCCUUGGUUUUUGGUUUAUCUUGACUCUUUGUUUUUAUAGGCUGUUGUUAAAAACUUCAGGUAUGGAGAUUCUACCUUAAGCACAUAUGGUCACAUAUGCCUUUUUCCACACUUGUUUCAGGGCCUCUUAGUUUUUAAUGCUUUUAGUAUCUAUUAUGGUUUUGUUUGAUCUGGGUCUCCUGGAUUUUCAAUUUUUGAAUAUGGUUUCAACUCUCAAGGAGAUUUGCUUCCUGGUUCUCAUUGUAUUUCUUUAUAGUCUUCUGUGUUCAAGCUUUUAGGAUCCUGUGGAGUUAUGUUACUGAAUAUGAUAUGAGUUUAUUGACUCUAUUUUUUUUUAUUCUAUUUUUAACACAUAACACGGAAUUUAUAAUAUGGUUACAUAUGUUUUUUUAAGAUAUUAUUCCACCCUUGUUUGAGGGCCUCUUAGUUUUAAUGCUUUCAGUAUUUUAUUAUAUUUAAAUAUAUGGUUUCUGCUUGCAGUGAUGUUGCUGGCUUUCCUUUUCUAAAGUGCUGAUACCUAACCUUCCUCAUGGCCGUGAUCACCCAACUCUAUCUUUUUAUUGAGUUCAAGGUUUUGACAAAAGUUUUGUGAUGUUGCUGGCUUUACUUUUCUAAGGUGCUGAUUCUUGGACUUCUUCAUGGCUGUGAUCGCCACUAUUACUAGGAAUGUUUCUCGUUCAGUGUUGUGAAUGGUGAUUGCCACUAUAACCCUCUGAAAUACUUGGUUUUGGUGGUGUGUUGGUACUGAGCUUGAUAUGACUUUUUGAUCCUUUUAUUAUUUAGAUGCAUGUUUGGGGUUAUCAAUUUCCAGAAUUAUUAUGAAGACGGACAUGGAUGAAGGUUUCUCAUUGUUCUACUUUUUUCUUUUUGUUCUUUUUUU
rnacentral:sRNA from 10 species